AAAUGGUCGCGUGGGAAUGUGUGUUAAAUUUUCCCGUCUGUGUGUGACAAUGUGGUGAAUUUGGUGGGCACAGAAGCUAAAAAUAAGCGUUAAUGUAACUGUGAGAGAGCGUGGUGAGAUUUCAGGCGCACGUUGAUCCGACUGAACACCGUUUCGGAACAGAUCUUCUGAUCAUACGUCACACGGUUGAGCUUGAACCAAGUCGCAAAAGUGCGUGGAUGAAAGGGUGGCUAUCCGCAUUUUUUUUAAACAGGAAGAGAAAUCAAUCUUCGUCCAAGUUGAUAAGGUUUCAACACAACUGUUCCGGCUUUCAAGUGUUGCAUUUCGGUCAAGUGUUUCUGAAUGUGGAAACUCCCACCCGGUCAAUCAGUUUAACGAGGAAGGCAGUAUCCCAGACUAAAAUUAAUCUGGAAAGCAGUGAAAAUGGAGCAAAAAGAAGGUGGUGAUGCAACAAGUGGUGUGUAGUGCGAGCGAAAAUAGUUGUAACACAUUCGAGAGCUGAAAAGUGAUGAAGAAAAAAUCGUUAAGGGCUAAGUGAAAAAGUGUUCUGUCGGAAAAUCUACCAUCAGUGGUGUGACGUCGACAACUUUUGUCGAAUCAUAUUGUGGAGUGAGCGAUAAUAAGAGACGAGGAUAAAGUGGGAAAGCUAGCGCUGAGUCAUCCUGUUUUCAGUCUGCAUUUUAAAGGAGCCUUCACUGUCCCACUUAGAAGCAAUAACGGAGCUGUGUGAAUCGUCGCGAUGUCUUCGUAUCGCAGUAACUAUAAUUACCCCUGGUCAUCAAGUUAUAAUCCAACUUCUUCGUCAUAUUCGACGUCCGGCUCCACUUACGGAAGCAGUAGAUUCUCCACCGAACCGACGAGUUCGCGAUUAACUUCGUUGAGUAGUAGCAGCUUCCGUCCAUCGUACACUUCCGGCAGCUAUCGAUCGCCUCGCACAGCAUCCAAUGUGUCGGCAUACAUUAGCCGUUACUCGAGCCUGGCGGCUGAAAAGGAAAAAGACAAGGAACGCGAAAAAGCUAAGGAGGAAGAGCGACGUCGUGAACGCGAACGGGAGCGAGAGCUUCGGGAGAAAGAGAGAGAAAAGGAACGGGAUCGCGAGAAAGACCGCUUAAUCGAAACAUCGAGAAAGUUGGAAGCUGAGCUGGAUAAGGAUAAGCCGAAAUUGAUUAAAAAAUCGGCACUCAUUGCGGCAAAGUAUGGCUCAGCUGUGGAAAGCGAAGACUCCAGUAAAACGGGCUCAAAUGCAGCUAUUGCCAAGCCGAAAAAAGAUAACGCUCCGCCUGUUACAUUUACUACUAGAUAUGGAAAAACUGGGGUGUCUCGUGAUAAGUCCAGAGAACCCAGUCCAGCAAGCAGAACAAAUUCGACGAACAAUUUAACUGUUAAUCGACCCAAAGGUAGAGAUCCAAGUCCCGCUGGCGGGACCAUAUCAACUAGUGUACGCUCGAGAGAUCCUAGCCCAGCAACUGAUAGCAAACGACUGGGAGGCUAUACGGCAUCCAUUGCAAAUAAAUUUACAGCAAAUGAGAGCGCAUCUACAUUAGCGACCAAUCAAUAUAAAAGGCAGACAUCCGGUUCGAUCGGCGGCUUCUUGCAGAACCGAGCAAGGUCCAGGGAUCCAAGUCCAACAGUUCGAACAAUAACAUCACGAGAACCUAGUCCAGUUGAGUCGAAAAAAUUUGUCAAACCAUUCGUUGCACGAUCUAGGGAUCCGAGUCCAAAUGUUUCUAAGGCAAAUGUCGCAACCAUAAAAAUAACGCUCGCUCCUAAAACUCACCUUAACGAUUCAAGCUCUCCGGAUUCAAAGAAGUUCAUCAACAGUACCAACCUUAAAACUGGAAUUCGUUCACGAGAUCCAAGUCCUGUAGAGUCUAAAAAGAUUCCAAUUUUCACUUCCAGUAAGCUUAGAUCUAGGGAUCCUAGCCCAGCUGGUAACAAACCUUCAGCAACCUUCUCGAGCUCUAGUCUCAGAACAAGGACAUGCGAUUCUAGCCCAGCAGCAACCAAGCAAACACCAACCUACACUAGAUCUUUAACUGCGAGAGAAUGCACUACUCUAACACUACCGGUCACUCGUACUAGAGAUCCUAGCCCAUCGAUAUCGAAAGUCCGCAGUCGUGAUCCUAGCCCGGCCUUGAGCACAUCUGGAAUUCGAAGAUCUUCCAGGGAACACAGUCCUGCGGAAUCAGUUCGAGAAAAGUACGGUUUAAAUACCAGCUCGUACCGACCGUAUGGUAGAAGUAACAGCACUAUGAGCACUACAUCAUCUCGAAUCACAAUGAACUCUAGUCCAGUCCCUGCUCUUUCAUACAUGACAUCUAGUGAAGCAAUAGCUGCGAGAACAAGUCGACCAUCUUCGAGAUUAAUGAAUUCUCAGUCCCAUGAGACGUCACAGUGUCCCUCACCGCUGCUAGUACGUAGUCACAUUUUCUCUCCGGAACCUGUUCUGAUAGUCGAAGACAACAAAAAGGAAGAAGAGACCAGUUCAUCUUCAACGGAAUCCACGUCAACGGAAGAGGAAUCCUCAGAGGAAACAGAAAGUAGCGUUGAACCAGAGCCAAAAAUUUUCGUUGAGAUAACUCUAGUCACUAGGGGAACCUCACCAACUCCUCCAGGAUCUACACCGUACAUUCGAGCCAGGCGAGCAGAGAUGUGCAAAACAAUCGAGAAAACUAUUCAAAAACAGAUUUUGAAUGUGCAAACUGACGAUAAAGCAAUUCAGUCCGAUCGGAUGGAUGAUCCGACCCGCCAUCUUCGGUAUCACCAGCCAGCGACAAGAACAUGGUCACCCUUCCUCGAUUCCAAGUACAGCUCUAGUGGUUCCUCCGGUUAUACGAGGUACUCAAGUGCGUCCUCUCGCUACAGUCGGGAUAGCGCGAGCCAGAGUCGAGAGCCCAGUGUGUGCUCUACGCGAAGUGACGUUCCAGAGAAAAAGGAUGAGAAAAUAUCCACCUUGGCGGCCCGUGUGAAAGAAUUGAACCUCUCAAAAUCAGUUAGCCCAAAAUAUAAUUCAGCAAACAGUAGAUCGUCGACAAGUACCCCUUCUCUGAAACAAAAGACACCACCCAAACAAAAAUCGCCGGAGAAACCUCCACCCGCACCCACAAAGGAUGGAUCGCCCACAAAACCUGCACCUAAUGCAACCAGUUCCAGAAUCAAUAAAGACUUCCGAAAGUCCGCCUUGAACAUGGGUCCUGCGCCAGACCGACCAAGAAAAGGUUCGAAUUCUUCCAGUAAGUCUAGUUCUUCGUCGGGUUCAACGGCAACCCAGGUUCCAGGUAGCGUCCCACAAAAUGGUGCUAGUAAGAUUCCACAGGUAAACCGAUCCAGUGCAAGUCCCGCUCGUCGCUCGGAUCGAUCAUCGUCAACGAGUUCCGAAGUGAGUACAGCCACCACUUCGUCUAUAUCGGAGGCGGACGGGCAACCGACCAAAUCAUCCCAGAUAAUAUCAUCGGCGGAUGAAACCGGAAAUACGGUAACUGACUCAUCCGUCGCAAACAACGAGCUACUGAUGCGGGCAAUUCAGUUAGCAACGAACUUUGUAAACGGCAAUCGCAAUACUCCUACCUGGUAUGAUAAUAAUAGUACGACUAGCGCGACCGAGAGCCUCAAUCAAGAUCAGGCUUCCAAGUCGGGUUGGGAAGCGGGAACACAUUACAUGGAAAGCAUAAAGGAUGAUGAUUCCACUGAAGAUGAGGAAGAUGACGAAGAGACUGCUUUGAAGUCAGGUUUGCAGCAGGCAACUUGGUGGAACAAUGACAAUGGGUUCAUUCAACAUCCCCCGGUGCAAGCGGUUACAGUACAGGAUACUCUACCAAACACCAGGAGUCUCACCUAUCGCAUUAGACACAUUCAGUCCGGUGAAAAGGCUUGGUGGAUGACUGAGGAUAAAAAUCAAGGGGAAACAACCAACGAGACGUCGAAAGGCUCAGUUACUGAUUCAGGUAAUGCAAACAAGGUUAACAACUCGAUGGUCGUGGUUAGUGCAAAUAGAGCUGGAUCUCAAGAGAAGGCCUGGUGGUUAUCAAACACAAAUGGUAAGCUUGAAGAUAGUUGCAAAAUCCAACAGGACGAGAGGAAAGAAGAAGCAUCUAGUGAUGACGAUGAUGAAGGCGAAGAGGACGAGGACGAGGACGAGAGUAAUGAAGCUGUGAAUGAUUCGCAGAACUCGAAAAACGAUGGGAACAACCAACCGUACUCGCCAUUCCGACCCAUUAAAUUAACCAAGAUUGAAUCUGGCGAAAAAGCAUGGUGGAUGAUGAGCACUAAUGAUGUACCGGCCAAGGCGAAAGAGUCAUCUGGAAGCGAAAGUAAAGCGGCAUCGAAAGAAGUUUCACCGGAAAAGAAAAAUCCUGGGUUCACUAUGUACACAUUAGAAGCGGAAGAUCAGGCUUGGUGGGAGGAAGCAAUGGCUGAUCUGGAGAAAAAAGAAAAAUCUAGUUCGAGUGUCAGUACCGGAAGCAGCAGCAGUAGCAAAGCUGCGUCGAAAGAUCAUACGCCGGAACCGAAAUCCAAGGGGUUUAUUAUUUCCCGUGCCAGGUCUGGCGAGAAGGCAUGGUGGAUGUGCAGUACGGAUAAAGUAAAUGAGGCAACCAACAGUGACGGUUCGGUUCGCGAAUGCAGCCCGGUUAAGGCAAAACCUUUUAAAAUCACUAGAAUAGAGUCGGGUGAAGCACCCUGGUGGAUGGCGGAAACGGAAAAUGCAAUUUCUCGAUCUGGCUCCAAAGCCAACGUAGUUAGCCGGUCAAACAGUUUUAAUUCCAAACAAGGUAGUCCUACAAAGUAUAAAAUUACGAGAGUUGAAUCGGGGGAGAAACCUUGGUGGAUGGAUAGUCCGGAGGAGAAGAGCGUUAGUCCCCAAAAGAUGAGCUCUUUCAUUGAGAAGCACGGAGAGGAAGAAAACCACCAGACCGAAAUGGAAAAUGAAAUAGAUGAGGAGAUUCGUAACAUCGGUAGAUUUGUCGCUGGUCUACCUCAGUUUCCUACCGGUGAUUUCACGGUUGAAGCCAUUGCAGAGACACCCCUGGGUGAUCGUGCUAGCCCGGAAGGUGUUGAAGAUUCUCACGUGACACACCGAACAUCUCCAUAUGACAACAUUCCAUCAGCUAGCAAGGCAAACAACGCGUCAGACCGUGAAUCAAAAACAUAUCAGCAGACCGAACUUGACCGCAAACCGACUGAGGCAGCAGUUUUCAUUUCGCGCCACACAAACAUCGAUGAUCUUUUGGGCGGAUCUUGUCACCCGCUGAGCCCGACGAUGGAUCGUUUGUUUACGAUGGAUGAGCUUCAGGAGAUUUCACCACAUGACGUGCGGGUGCACGACAGCACGGCGCAGUUCAUUUAUGGCGACAGGACGGUCAGCGGUGGUGAGAAUGAAAUCACGAAGAAAUCUGUGCUGGACGAUGCAGCAUUGCAAGUGUACAAAGACGGGGACUACGGGGCCUAUCUGGACCUGGAGUCCUCUCUCGCCGAGCAGUCCGAGGAGAUCGAGGGACUGAAUGCGAACCGCAAAAAUUCCCUCGUUGUACGAACACAGCUAAGCGUUCGUGUUCACUCCAUUAUAGAAAAACUUCUGUCAUCGGAGGGUCGUGAAUUGCGGCGGGCGCUGUUUUCCCUGAAGCAAAUAUUCCAGGAAGACAAAGAUCUGGUGCAUGGCUUUGUGGCACUCGGAGGCCUCAUCUGUCUGGUUCAGAUUGGCAACGAAGCGGACCAGAACUACCAGAAUUACAUCCUCCGGGCUCUCGGACAGGUCAUGCUGUACGUAGAUGGUAUGAAUGGAGUGAUGAAACAUGCGCCCACCAUUCAAUGGCUGUACUCGUUGAUCGCAUCCAAGUAUCGGUUAGUGGUGAAGACUGCCCUCAAGCUGCUGCUGGUGUUUGUGGAGUACUGCGAGGGGAACUGCUAUCUGAUGGUCAGUGCGAUUCGCUUCAUCGAUACGGCACAUGGAGUGGUGCCCUGGAACAAUAUCAUGAGACUGCUCAAAGACUACGAGAACGCCGACACGGAGCUUCUCAUCUACGCAACCUCGUUGGUCAACAAAACUCUAUCCGGAUUAAGCGACCAAGAUAGCUUCUACGACGAAAGUGAUUUCCUGGAACAGCAAGGCAUGGAGGGUAUCAUUCAGCGGUAUAUGUCCCGCCCUGGAACGGACCUGGAUCUACUGGAUCAACUUCAGCUGUACGAAACUGUACUGCGAUUUGAAGACGGCGAAACCGAUGGUAUCCGGAUACCGGAUAACACGGUUCGAAAGACGCUUCGCUACCGAUCGAACGACACCAGCGAUAGACGAAAGUCACGAAGACAUAGUACUGGUACGGCACCGGUGACAGCGGCUCAACAACCUCCACCAAUACCACCGCCGCCUCCGCCACACAUAUUGUACUCACUUCCACCUAAUAUGCCGCCCCCGCCACCGCCUCCCAUACCUCCCCCAGUAGCACCAGUUACGCUGUAUGCACCACUGAGGAUUCCGUUGCAGCAAACUGUUGACGAGGAUAGCUCAAGCUCGGCCAACUCAGCCGAUCACAAUCUGGCGGGUAGUGGGUAUCGAGACGAUUCCAGGGAUACAACUGGAGUUACACCUGGACUGAGAAGGAGACGCGAACGAGCUGAACGGCAAAAGACUUUCAUGCGGGAACAACAGGAACUAUCCCAGUUUAAAGCUCAGGAAGACACGAACGGUCACGGUUACAUUCUAACCCAAAGCCAUCAGCCGCAGCAGGCACAACAACAAACACCCACGUUGCCGGUUCGGCUGCGAAAUGGACAUGAAUCUCGUAGCACGCGACUUAGCAACGGCAAUCAGCCACCAACUAUCAACGAAUAUGACCCUUCAACGCGGGUGCCCAACCUAACUCAAUCUGUGAUCUAUAGUAAGCAUAAUAGUACUAAUUAUAGCGGAAUGAACGGCGAUCUCGGUGUUUCGAAUGGAACAAACGGAACCAGUCACGAUCCGAUCGAGUACAGAAACAGUAAGAACCUGCUGCUGAGUAAGAAAAAUGGUGUUAGCAAUGGAACCUACAGUAACGGUAAGCUGGAUGUCAAUGGGAACAUGUCCAACGGAAGGGGUUCCAGCAGUCCAUCGGAGCUGGAUGAGAACGAGAGUCCAAAUAUCAAAAUGAACGGAAAUUACGGCGACAUCAAUGGCUACGGCAAUGGACAUGUUUAUCAAUUAAAUGGUUUCAGGCAGCAGAAUGGGAAGGAAGAACCUCGUCGCAGCAGCACCUACAUCAAUGGUAAUGGUAAUGGUCAUGUUCCGACGAAUGGGCAUCACGUGGAACUGAACGGGAAGCAGGAGUUGCUACAAGUGGAAUCCGACAACGAGGACAAGAAACUUAUACUGCAGCUGAAAAAGGAUCACACGGUCAAAGAUCUGACGCAGAAGCUCAGCAGCCUACCGUUAAGUCCGCAGGAGGACAAGCCCCAGAACCGGAUCGGUGACAUGUCCGGUCUGAUUUCCAAAGCCAAGGAGGGAUUGGCGAAAAGCAAAAGCAACAAGGACAUCUCCCGAUCCCCCAGCGUGGACAGCGACAUCAAGAAGCUGGCGAGUGAGCAGAAAAAAUCCGAAAACGAGCUCCACUGGGAGGAAAUUGUGAAAAACAUGACUCGGAAGCUAAAUCUGUGCGACCUGGACUUUACCGAUCUCACGUCCGACGACGAUAAGGAUGUGCUUGCUCCUCGGGGCUUUGGAGGAGCAGUUCCACCACCUCCACCACCCGGUGGAAUGAUGCCCCCGGUGAACGUAAUGCCUCCUCCGCCGAGCAUGAUGAUGCGACCGCCACUCACUAACCUGGUGCCACCGAUGUACCCCAACGGUGGUCUCACGAAUCCAGCGGCCAUGACCAAUGGCGACACCAGCGGGAUGAACACAAUCAAGAAGAAUAAAAAGACUGUGAAACUUUUCUGGAAGGAAGUUCGCGAGGAUAUGAUUCCGACAACGAUACAGCGUACCAUUUGGGACGAGCUACCGGAGGCCACCGUGGACACCCAGAAGUUGGAGCAUUUGUUCGAAUCUAGAGCCAAAGAUCUGAUGACAAAGAAGCAGCAGGAGCUGAACAAGAACAAGGAAAUCAUCGUACUGGACCACAAACGUUCGAACGCUAUCAACAUAGCCAUGACGAAGCUUCCACCACCGAGAGCCAUCAAGGCUGCCAUUCUGAAGAUGGACUCCACGGUGGUCACCCGAGAGGGCAUCGAAAAACUGCUGAACAUGCUACCGACGGACGAGGAACGCUGCAAGAUUCAGGAAGCUCAGAUGUUGAAUCCGGAACUGCCACUGGGAACGGCGGAACAGUUUCUGCUGACGCUCUCCUCCAUUUCGGAGCUCGGAGCUCGACUGAAGCUGUGGGCAUUCAAGCUGGACUUUGAGAACAUAGAGAAAGAAAUCGCGGAGCCACUGAUGGAUCUUAAACAGGGCAUCGAGCUGCUGAAGAGCAAUCUAACCUUCAAGUGUAUUCUUUCUACGUUACUCAAGAUAGGUAUUUUCCUAAAUGGUGCACCGGUGAAAGGAUUUCAGAUCGAUUACCUCGCAAAAGUACCUGAGGUUAAGGAUACAGUUCACAAGCACUCGUUGCUACAUCAUCUAUGUCACAUGGUCAUGGAAACUCAAGCCAACACUACGGAUUUGUACUCGGAAAUAGGGCCCAUUACUCGGGCUUCAAAGGCCGAUUUCGGUGAGUUGGCUCAUAACGUCACCUACUUGGAAACGGAGUGCAAGGCCUCCUGGGAUCGGUUAAAAUUGAUCAGCAAACAUGAUACGGCACCACAUUUGAAGCAAAAGCUGAUCGACUUCCUGGCAGAUUGUGCUGAACGCAUCAUUAUCUUAAGUAUUGUCCACAGGAGGGUACAGAAUAGGUAUCGCAAGUUCCUGCUAUGGUUAGGAGUUCCUCAGCACCGCAUUUCCGAGUCUCGGCCAAAUGAAUUCUGUCGGAUUGUGUCGGAGUUCGCUCUCGAGUAUCGAACGACGCGGGAGCGUGUUCAGCAGCAGAUCGAAAAGAAGGCCAAUCACAGAGAGAGAAACAAGACUAGGGGGAAGCUGAUUGUUGACGUUGCUAAAUUUAAGGGCACUAAGGAGGAUCGAGCCGAUGUCGAGUUAAGAACACUUCUGGGAACACCAACCAAAGGACCAGCCGGCGAGGAAGUUGAGAUGAGCGGUACAUUAACUUGGCGGCGAAGACGCGGUGACGCGACGGCAUCACCCGUGACCUUAAUGAACAGCAGUGGACAUAGCACACUGAACAGCAGCUUCACCGGUAGUAACCACAAUCGGGACGAAAGUUUCACGGAUGGCGACGAUGAAAUUUUAGAGUCACUGGUCAAAACAGCAACAAAGGCGUCCACUCCCAGGCCUGCCCAACGGGAACGGAAACGAACUAGGCAGGCAGAUCGGAAGUCGUUUAAAAGGUCGAGAACGCGCGAGGGGUUCACGGUGGAGCGUAGUGGACAUUCACCAGUCUAGCCGAGGGAUGGAAGCGCAUUGUAGAUAGUGUAACCGCGUGCUUCCAGGGCAUUCUCAUCCCAUCCCAACCAAUAGAAUCUAAGACGUUUAUUACUGUAAGACGGACGCUGAAGAACGGAUUAACCGAGGAGGAGAAGCAACAUGUGGCCUCGCUGAUAAAGGGAUAUUAAAAGACGCUAGGAGCCACCAAAUUCAGGACCAAUUUUCAACUCACGGCUGCAAUAAAUAGGGAUACGUUUUUGCCGCCCCGGCUUCAUUGCUCGUUAGGUCGUUAGAUCCGAAAUCGAAAGCGGACAAAAAUGUGCUCCACAAAGUGUGACGAUUGUGAUGGCGGGGAACUGCAGGAAUGGAACAACUUUUGGCGAUAGAACACAAAACUUUUUAAAUGUGAUAGACAAAACAAAUAGAACAAAAAAAUGGUGAGUAGUGGAAAAUUCAAACAAGAACAGUGUUAGUGACAUGCAAAUUAAAGUUUCGGAAGUGCUUUUUGAUUUUGAAAGAGAGAAAAUCAGGCAAGUAGACUAGUCUUCAUUUUCGGAAAUGCCACUGCUUAAGUUUCCCACAUUGGAUAUUUCAGACUGUUUAUAGUGACUCUCGAAUAGAAAAGAAAAAAACUAUGCUAAUUAUUUUAAUUAUAACGAAAAUAUAGGUAGAAAUUGGUAAGACCAUUCUUCGCUGAGGAAAACCCAAGGAUUUUAAACGAAACGAAAGCAUUGUGAGACAGAUUUUCCAAAUAUUAAGUAAAAAUCAAAAGCCCAACUAAAAUUAAAGUAGAAAUGCGACAAUAGCAUAGUUGCAGUUUAAACUCGAUAUACAAUAUAAAUUAUUGACAUAUAUCAAAGAAAUUCAUAAAUAAAA